rnacentral:rRNA from 1 species
UACGAAGGGUGCAAGCGUUAAUCGGAAUUACUGGGCGUAAAGCGUGCGUAGGUGGUCUUUUAAGUCCGUUGUGAAAGCCCUGGGCUCAACCUGGGAAUGGCAGUGGAUACUGGAAGGCUGGAGUGCGGUAGAGGAGGGUGGAAUUCCCGGUGUAGCGGUGAAAUGCGUAGAGAUCGGGAGGAACAUCAGUGGCGAAGGCGGCCCUCUGGACCAGCACUGACGCUGAGGCACGAAAGCGUGGGGAGCAAACAGG